CAGGCAUCCUGCCCCACAGCCAUGUAAAUUUUCUUACAUACAAAUGUUCAUUGCUAUCUUUUACAUUCCUCUGCUGACAGUGAAGAGGUCGUGCUAAAUCAAACUGAUGGAGAAACUGGACAUCAUCUUUACCCUGAAUGCCCAGAUUAAUUCUACCCGAACAGAGGGUCUUUUUUCUCAUCAACUACCCUCUUUCAAGGGGAGUGCAGUAGACUCUGGAAUGAAUUAUGAGGAAAUCCCAUAUCCUCCUAUAAAACAACAAAAAAGCCUGACGUCAAGGGGAAUGAUAAGGGAUCUUUGGUGA
rnacentral:lncRNA from 1 species